ACGCUGGCGGCGUGCUUAACACAUGCAAGUCGAACGGGCCCGCCCUCUUUUUUGGGGGUGGGUUGAGUGGCGAACGGGUGAGUAUCACGUGAGUAACCUGCCCCCUGCUCCUGGAUAACUGCUUGAAAGGGCGGCUAAUACGGGGUGUGCCGGCUGGUCCGCAUGGGCCUGGUCGGGAUAGUUUCAUCUUCGGGUGUUUCGGUGGGGGAUGGGCUCGCGGCCUAUCAGCUUGUUGGUGGGGUGAUGGCCCACCAAGGCGGUGACGGGUAGCCGGCCUGAGAGGGUGGGCGGCCACACUGGGACUGAGACACGGCCCAGACUCCUGCGGGAGGCAGCAGUGGGGGGUAUUGCACAAUGGGCGGAAGCCUGAUGCAGCGACGUCGCGUGAGGGAUGGAGGCCUUCGGGUUGUGAACCUCUGUUUCCGGUGGUGAAGGCCCCGCCCCUGGUGGUGGGGUUGACGGUAGCCGGGUAUGAAGCGCCGGCUAACUACGUGCCAGCAGCCGCGGUAAUACGUAGGGCGCGAGCGUUGUCCGGAAUUAUUGGGCGUGAAGGGCUUGUAGGCGGCCGGUCGCGUCCGCCGUGAAAUUCUCCGGCUCAACCGGGGGCUUGCGGUGGGUACGGGCCGGCUGGAGUGCGGUAGGGGAGGCUGGAACUCCUGGUGUAGCGGUGGAAUGCGCAGAUAUCAGGAGGAACACCGGUGGCGAAGGCGGGUCUCUGGGCCGUUACUGACGCUGAGGAGCGAAAGCGUGGGGAGCGAACAGGAUUAGAUACCCUGGUAGUCCACGCCGUAAACGUUGGGCACUAGGUGUGGGGCGUUCCCGUUCGCGGGGGCUCCGCGCCGUAGCUAACGCAUUAAGUGCCCCGCCUGGGGAGUACGGCCGCAAGGCUAAAACUCAAAGGAAUUGACGGGGGCCCGCACAAGCGGCGGAGCAUGCGGAUUAAUUCGAUGCAACGCGAAGAACCUUACCAGGGCUUGACAUGGGGGCGGUGGCGUCGGAGACGGCGUCUCCCUUUUUCGGGGCGCCCCCGCAGGUGGUGCAUGG
rnacentral:rRNA from 1 species